rnacentral:rRNA from 1 species
CCUACGGGUGGCAGCAGUGAGGAAUAUUGGUCAAUGGCCGGAAGGCUGAACCAGCCAAGCCGCGUGAAGGACGAAGGUGCCAAGCAUUGUAAACUUCUUUUGUCAAGGGACAAAAUCAGGCUCGAGAGCCUGACCGAGGGUACUUGAAGAAAAAGCAUCGGCUAACUCCGUGCCAGCAGCCGCGGUAAUACGGAGGAUGCGCGCGUUAUCCGGAUUUAUUGGGUUUAAGGGGUGCUUAGGCGGGCUGUUAAGUCAGCGGUAAAAGCCCGGGGCUCAACCCCGGCGAGCCGUUGAAACUGGCUGUCGUGAGAUGGCGAGAGGUAUGCGGAAUGCGCAGUGUAGCGGUGGAAUGCUUAGAUAUUGCGCAGAACGCCGAUUGCGAAGGCAGCAUACCGGCGCCCAACUGACGCUGAGGCACGAAAGCGUGGGGAUCGAACAGGAUUAGAUACCCGAGUAGUC